GACGAACGCUGGUGGCGUGCUUAACACAUGCAAGUCGAACGGAAAGGCCCUGCUUUUGUGGGGUGCUCGAGUGGCGAACGGGUGAGUAACACGUGAGUAACCUGCCCUUGACUUUGGGAUAACUUCAGGAAACUGGGGCUAAUACCGGAUAGGAGCUCCUGCUGCAUGGUGGGGGUUGGAAAGUUUCGGCGGUUGGGGAUGGACUCGCGGCUUAUCAGCUUGUUGGUGGGGUAGUGGCUUACCAAGGCUUUGACGGGUAGCCGGCCUGAGAGGGUGACCGGCCACAUUGGGACUGAGAUACGGCCCAGACUCCGACGGGAGGCAGCAGUGGGGAAUAUUGCACAAUGGGCGGAAGCCUGAUGCAGCAACGCCGCGUGCGGGAUGACGGCCUUCGGGUUGUAAACCGCUUUCGCCUGUGACGAAGCGUGAGUGACGGUAAUGGGUAAAGAAGCACCGGCUAACUACGUG
rnacentral:rRNA from 1 species